rnacentral:lncRNA from 1 species
CCGUUGUUUUGGCAAUGGGAGGCAAGAGGGAAGUGCACAUCAGAUGAACCGCAGAAGCUGGGGAGACAGAUGCUAGAGUCGAUGUGAAAUGAAUACCGUGGUAAAAUACUUCGCGGUACCCAAUCUGGCUGCCAGCGAGGCAUAGAAGUGUCCUCCUACAGUAUCGUAUUGCACGGUUUCCUUCACUUCUUGCCAUUGUAUACAUUGAAAGGUUGCCACGGU